UAAAACGUGCCUUUGUGUAUGAUUCAACAAGUAGUAGAACAAGCCAUAUGAGUCGAAGUUUAUCCAUUCCUUUUACCUUCGGGAUAAAAGCGAUAUCUGUGGGCCCCUCGAUGAUUUGAUGAUGACAAAUGGAAGUGCUCGGCCGGGCCAGGACUGAUUUGAUUUGUUCAAUUAGUCAGUCGUCAUAAAUCGGAAAUCGGGAAACAACAAAUGGACAGAGAGAAUGAUUAUAAUCCAUGUCUCAGUCCAUAUGAUAUCUAGAAUGGAGGAAUAUAUGAUCCCUUAUCUAAUGGACAAGUCAUUGACAAAGGUCAGAGUUCAUCUACAAGGUCAGAGUUCGACAGAAGCUUUUGAGAGCUACGAUUGCCGGUCGGUUCUUGAAGUCAUUCGCAAUAAUAGUUUUAGACUUAUCCAAGUGGGAGACUGUUGGAUUAAUGUCUAAGUCCAUAACUAUAUUUGGUAAGACUUGACCCGACCCGGCAUGGUCCAUUUGGGUUGCAUACCAUCAUGCACUAUAAUGAGAGAAAUAAGACACUUAUGGUUAUUAAUAUAUUAUAAGUUCUAGUAUAUUAAUAAUAAGAAUAAUAAGAUUAUUUAAUUAGUAUUGAUCAAGAAUUAAUCUAGGAUUAAUUAAGUGAUCAAAAGAAGACUAAUUAAAUAUAUGGGUUGAUUGUGUAAAUCAUCCAUACUUGUAUAGUGGGCUAAUGCUCCAUGGAUAAUCAAGUUGGGCUAAAACCCAUAGGAUGGUCCAUGGAUGCUCCAUGGUGUAUUUGAACCCAUGGAUCCAAGGAAAUGGAAGGCCAUGACAAUUAGGGUUUACCCUAAUUGUAACAACUACAUAAGGUCAUAUUCUUUGGGAAAAAUCGGGCACUAUGAAUAAUAAGAAAGGGAUAGCCAAUUUUAGGAGUGUUCAAGUUUCUCUCAAGUUAUUCCAAGUGUAUUUGGUGUUGUGUGAACCAUUUGAGGUGUCACACUUGAGGCAUUAGGCACUCAAUCUUCAUGAAGACAUUAUACAUCAAAGAGGUAUGUAUUCUAUCUUGUUAUAUUAAUUAUUUUGUAUGCUAGAUUAGGAUAAUACAUUGGAUGUUCAUAAUUUCAUGUAUAAUACAGAAAACAUAGAUCGAAGGUAUUUAGGGUUGAAUGUACACUUAGGAGUGUUAGAAUGCUCAAAACCCAACACUAUAUUAGGUUUGACACCCCACACCUUUUUGCUAGCUACAGUGGGACUUGUAGGUCUAUAGGUGACAAGAGUCAUAGUAUCUUAACGUCUGAAAAAUGUUGUGCAGGUUAUUUCUCGUCAUAGUAUGGUUAUAGCAACUCACAUAGGUAGUUAACAAUCUUUCAAGUUUACAUGGAAACUUUUACCUUGAAAAGGGGUUUACUUCUAAAUCAAACAAGUUUAUGUCGAUUUAAACUCACAUGAAUUACUUUAAGUAUGGUAAAAUACUUGUACACUUUCGGUCUUAGGAUUAAAGACAACUCAUAACACAUAAAAUUUACGGGAUUUUCCUCAAAUUCAAAAUGGUUUUAUGCCGAUUUAAAAUCACAUUUAUAACUUUAAGUAUGGAAAAUACUUGUUUAUUUUCGGUCCUGGGAUUUAGGACUACAUAACUAUUAUAAGGAAAAUAUUGGAUUUUCUUUGGAACAUAUUUCUAUUAACACUACAUCUCGUAUAGAAUUGUUAGACUUCAAUGGUUCAUUUAACUCAAAUUAUAUGUAAUUUAUAUACGCUGAGUGAUCAUAGAAGGAAUCUAUGGGUUCUUCUAGAGUUCAUUAUCGCAUAACAUAGGAGCAUACAUUCCACACUUUAACUAAGAAAAUAUUGGAUUUUCUGGAAAUCAUACUCUAUCAUUUUUACAAGGAAAAUGGUUACUUCCUAAAGUAAAACUCUUAUGAACUCACGAACUUAAUUGUUGACACUUUUUCAAAACUACUUGUAUUCUCAGGAAAUCAGUGAAACAGGAAAACCAACAACAUUUUGAGGAUGGGACGAUAAAUCGUCAAACAGUUCAUUUUAUCAUCAUAAUGUAAUUGAUUUGAAUCAUGUAAACAUAUACUUUAGUGUAACUUUUUCAAUUAUAUUUAUGAUGGUUGUAUUUACUUUGAGCACUAUUAUACUCGUUGUUGUGAUACUUUACAAGAAGUCCUCCACCCCCGGACGUUUCCGCCAUCCUUGGUUUGGGAGUGUGACACGGCUACCAUGAAAAUCAAUGACCAAAGCUCACAACAUAACCUCUAGAGUCUAUAUCGUCCACUCACUCUGGCCGUCGGUCUGUGGUUGAGAAGUUGUGCUGAAGUGUAGCCUCAUACCCAACUCCUCAUGGAACUUCUACCAAAAUCGGGAGGUGAACUAAACAUCACGGUCUAAAAUAAUGGAGACCGGAACCCCAUGGCGAGCAACGAUCUUGCGAAUAUACACAUCGGCUAACUUAUCGGCUGAAGAACUCUCCCGCAUCGCCAGGAAAUUGGCACUCUUGGUUAACCGAUCCAUGAUAACCCAAAUAGCAUCAAAAGCCUUUGCUAUCUUCGGCAAAUUGGUGAUGAAGUCCAUCGACAUUUGCUCCCAUUUCCACAUGGGAACCUCGAGAGGCUACAACUUUCCAUGCGGCCUAUGAUGCUCAGCCUUGACCAUCAUGCAGGUUAAGAACCUCUCCACGUACCAGACGAUCUCACUCUUCAUAAACGAACACCAGUAGCUCAAUCGCAGAUCUCGAUACAUCUUGGUGGCCCCUAGAUGAAUAGAAAAACGAGACUUAUGAGACUCCUCCAGCACAAUAUGUCUGACCCCACUAGACAUAGGUGUUGGAUUAAUGUCUAAGUCCAUAACUAUAAUUGGUAAGACUUGACCCGACCCGACAUGGUCCAUUUGGGCUGCAUGGCAUCAUGCACUUGGAUAGACU
rnacentral:lncRNA from 1 species